rnacentral:tRNA from 1 species
GGGGGUAUAGCUCAGUUGGUUAGAGCGCCUGACUCAUAAUCAGGAUGUCACAAGUUCAAGUCUUGUUUCCCCCACCA